GAUGAACGCUGGCGGCGUGCCUAAUACAUGCAAGUCGAGCGAACGGGCGAGAAGCUUGCUUCUCUGAUGUUAGCGGCGGACGGGUGAGUAACACGUGGAUAACCUACCUAUAAGACUGGGAUAACUUCGGGAAACCGGAGCUAAUACCGGAUAAUAUUUUGAACCGCAUGGUUCAAAAGUGAAAGACGGUCUUGCUGUCACUUAUAGAUGGAUCCGCGCUGCAUUAGCUAGUUGGUAAGGUAACGGCUUACCAAGGCAACGAUGCAUAGCCGACCUGAGAGGGUGAUCGGCCACACUGGAACUGAGACACGGUCCAGACUCCUACGGGAGGCAGCAGUAGGGAAUCUUCCGCAAUGGGCGAAAGCCUGACGGAGCAACGCCGCGUGAGUGAUGAAGGUCUCCGGAUCGUAAAACUCUGUUAUUAGGGAAGAACAUAUGUGUAAGUAACUGUGCACAUCUUGACGGUACCUAAUCAGAAAGCCACGGCUAACUACGUG
rnacentral:rRNA from 1 species